rnacentral:rRNA from 1 species
CUCAACCCGGGAACUGCUUCUGAAACUCCAUUGCUAGAAUCCGGGAGAGGUCAGGAGAAUUCCCAGUGUAGAGGUGAAAUUCGCAGAUAUUGGGAGGAAUACCAGUGGCGUAGGCGCCUGACUGGACCGGCAUUGACGCUGAGGUACGAAAGCGUGGGGAGCAAACAGGAUUAGAUACCCUGGUAGUCCACGCCGUAAACGAUGUGUGCUAGUUGUCAGGCGUUUAACGUUUGGUGACGGAGCGAAAGUAUUAAGCACACCGCCUGGGGAGUACGGCCGCAAGGUUAAAACUCAAAGGAAUUGACGGGGACCCGCACAAGCGGUGGAGCAUGUUGUUUAAUUCGAAGCAACGCGAAGAACCUUACCACCCCUUGACAUCCUCCUUGGGACUUACAGAGAUGUUUGUCUUCGGUUCGGCCGGGGG